GCAUUCAACUUGACUUCUUCUUGAGUUCGGUUCCUUUCAGCAAAGGCAGGGGUCCCCAAUCCCCAAGCAGCCAACUGGUCAGUGGCCUGUUAUGAACUGGGCACAUGGCAGAUACUGUGUGAAAAGACUCAAUGAUGCAUCAAACAACAAAUGCCCUGAGACCAAAGUUGUUUAUAACAACUUGUCUGGACAAUGAAGAGAGCUGGGAGCAGCUCUAGUCUUCCUCAUUGAGGGCUGUGCUGAAAGCUGCUAAGGGGUGGCUGAGGAGCAGUUUAUGCCCAGGCCCAGCUGAGGCUCAUCCAGUCUAGUCACCUCAGGCUCACGAUGCAUGAUGGAGAAGGAUAUAAAAACCGGCAGCAGUGGCUAAAAAUGAGUACGGGAGCUACGAUGAAGGGAAGCGGAAAACCGCUGCAGCAUCGUACUGGCGAGAAGAUAGCUCUAGGUACGCUGGGAGAGCGGCGCGCCGGCGUGGCGCGUGCGGAAAAGCUGCGCAGGCGUUCCAACGGCCUCCAGCCACGUGACGUCUGACACGUGACACCUGACACGUGACUCCUGACACGUGGCUCCUGGAUGCGCGGUGACGCCUGCGCACUUCUACGAGCGGAGCCUGGGCUUUCUGAUGAGGGAGGGGUCCGGAGGCGGUGAGCAUUGAGCAAGAAAGGCGAGGGAGAGCCAGUUCUGUGUGAAGAAAUUUAGUAGCUGAGACUAGGCCAGAGCAGUAAACCAGCGGUGUGAGAUUAACAGAAUUUAGUUUUAGUUCCUAGUGUUACCCCCUUCACUUUCUUAAUCGCUUUAAUCCGUUACGUUUUUUUUGACCAGAGAUGGUUCCUUUGACCUUUCUUGGCAUCUUAAAAAAGACAGUCUUACCUGUUGUGUGAUUCAAGUGAUGUUCCCCUUAAAUUUCACCCUAUGUGCCUGUUAAUGCUUCAAAUUCCCUUGGAAAUUGCUUUAAUCUGUUCCUUUAAUUAAGUAGGGAUCCUUUGUCUAGUCACUUUCUGUGUCGUUUUGAUGAUUGUGCCCCCAUAGCAUAAUACAUGUUCCUCUUUUUCAUAUUGUAUUUAAAUUGAUAAUAUCCAGAGCAGUGGUUCUCAAUCCAGACUGCACAUUCAAGGGGAUGAGGGGUGUUUUGUUUCGUUUUUCAAACUGAUGCUUGGGAUUAGGCCCUGCACAUUAAAUCAGAACGUCUAGAAGUGAGGCCUGGCAUCAGUAUUUAAAUUCUCCAGGUAAUUCUAAUGUUUGAAGUAAUUUAAUUCUAGGGUUGACGGCCAAUGACCUAUCUAGAAGAGUAGUUCACAAACUUUUCGAUUGCAGGACCCCUCUUUUUCACUCUGAAAAAUUAUUGAAGGCCAGGUACCAGUAAUCCCAAAACUUUGGGCCAAGUCCAGCCUGGGCAACAUAGUGAGACCCCUCCUUUACAAAAAAAUAAUAGCUGGGUGUGGCUGCACAAGCCUGUAGUCCUAAGUAUAGCUACUUAGGAGGCUGAGACGAGAGAAAUGCUUGAGCCCUGGAGUUGUAGGCUGUAGUGAGUUAUGAUCUCACCACUGUGCUCCAGCCUGGGCAACAGAGCAGGACCCUGUCUCUUAAAAAAAAUUAUUGAAGACACAAUGAAGCUUCUGUUUUUAUUAUGUAUAUUGGCAUUUACCACUCAGAAAUUAAAACACGAUUUAAAAAUAUUUAAUUCAUUUAAAAUAAAAAUAAUCCAUUACAGGAUAGCGUAAGUACGACUUUUAAAUAAAAAAUGUAGUAGAAAAAUAGUAUUGUUUUAUAUUUUUGAAUCUCUAAUGUCUGAUUUAAUAAAAGACAGCUAGAUUCACAUUACUGCUUUUGCAUUCAGUCUGUUGUGAUAUCACACAUGUAGCCACUGGAAAACUCCACUGUUUAUUCAGGACAGAAUGAAAGUGAAAAAGGCAAAUAAUAGUAUCAUUUAAGAAAAUACCUUUGACCUCAUGGUGUUCCUGUCUCCGUGACACAGAGGGGUUUUCUAAACUGCACUUUGAGAACUCAUUUAGAGGAGGUUGGCAGAUUCAGGUUUGACUUCUUUCGGCAAAAAUACUCAGUAGAGGUACGUCUAGCCUGUACAUAACAUUUAUCUUUUUCUUCCACCUCACUUUUUUCACUUAACAUAUCGUGGAGAUCCUUCUAUAGUAGCAUUUAAUAUAUCCCUUUUUACAGCUCGUUUGGUGGUUUGAAAUAAAUGGAGAUCCCAUCUUAUCACCUCUUACUCUGUAGGACCUGCAGAGCCUUACAACACAUCUAUAAAAUGUGAGAUGAGUUUUUAGCUUUUUUUGAAUGUUAGGUUCUAAUUUUUCCUUUGUCUUAAGUGUGUUAUAACCCUUCUACUAGUACUUGUCACUAGUAAAAAACCAUUUAGGUCAGAAGGAUUCCAGACCAGGAAUGUUGUCAAUAUUUUGAUUACCUCACAUAAAAUCAGUUGGCAAGUCCUACUGAUAUCAUAUGUUUGGUGCUACUUCCUUUCCAUGGUGGCUUAUUCAACUUUUUUUUUUUGAGACAGAGCCUCGCUCUGUUGCCCAGGCUGGAAUGCAGUGGUGCAAUAUUGGCUCACUGAAACCUGGGUUUCAAGCAAUUCUCCUGCCUCCGCCUCCCAAAUGGCUGGGAUUACAGGCAUCCACCACAACACCCAGCUAAGUUUUGUAUUUUUAGUGGAGACAGGGUUUCACCAUGUUGGCCAGGCUGGUCUCAAACUCCUGACCUCAAGUGAACCACCCGCCUCGGCCUCCCAAAGUGCUGGGAUUACAGGCAUGAGCCACCACGCCCGACCGGCUUAUUCAGCUCUUAACUGGGUUUUCCAACUCGAAUCUCUGUUUCUCUCUUUCACAUGCAGCAGCCAGAUUAAUGUGUCUAAAGCAUUAAUUAAUUAAUUCUUAGGCUUAAACAAAAUUGAAAGUCUUUCCAUUGCAUUGACUUCAAAAUCCUUUGUCAAAUUCAUUGUAAAUUCAUUAAACAAUUGGCUUUUUAUUAGCAAACAUCUGAAAAAUGAAAGGUUUCAUUCUCCUUCAAGGGAAUUUGAAGCAUUAGCAGGCACAUACGGAGAAAUUUAAGGGGGAAAUUACUUGACUCACUACAGGUAAGAGUGUCUUUUUAAGAUCCAGGAAAGGUAAGGGAACCAUCUCUGAGGGCAGAAAGGAAGUGUUCUGCUGCUCCCCAGGGCAACUUUCUCUUUCUACCCUCCUCUAACAUUUGAUUUGAUAGCUGACAAUGUUUAUAUCAUAUUCCUUUAUGAUGUCAAGCUUAUUUCUGACAUGUAUUCAUUGAUAGAAGACAGACAAAAGUGAAAGUGUCAACUUAAAAAUGUAGCUUUGUUAACCUUUUAAAAAACUUUUUGUUGAGACAGGGUCUCACUCUGCACCCAGACUGGAGUGCAGUGGCAAGAUCAUGGCACACGGAAGCCUUGAACUCCUGGGCUCAUGUAAUUCUCCCACCUCAGCCUCCCAAAUAGCUAGGACUACAGGCAAAGACCACCAUAUCCAGCUAAUUUUAAAAAUUUUUUGUGGAGAUGGGGUCUCCAUAUCAAGACAAGCCCAAGCUUGUCUUGAACUCAUGGACUCAAGCAGUUCUUCCGCCUCAGCCUCUCAAAGUGCUGGGAUUACAGUAGUGAGUCACCGCGCCCAAUAGCUUUUUAACCUUAUUAAAAGCACUAAAUCAACUCUUCAAUAGGUCGGAGCUGAAACUGAGUAAUUUACUGCAUUGAUUUUACUUACUGAUUAGGGAAGGAAAAAAAUUCUAGUGAUUUAUGUUAACAUUAAAAGUAUAGAGUUUCUGGA